GCCCAGGUGGUGAAAUUGGUAGACGCAGGGGACUCAAAAUCCCCCGCCGAGAGGCAUGCCGGUUCGAGUCCGGCCCCGGGCACCA
rnacentral:tRNA from 3 species